UGAGUACGAGAUGCUACGGCAUCGAAGCAGUCUAUGUCAUACUUCCAAGAAAAGCUUGCACUGUCAGAAACAGAUAAUGCCUGUACCAUAACCGACACAGGUGGGUAGGUAGAGUAUACUAAGGGGCGCGAGAUAACUCUCUCUAAGGAACUCGGCAAAAUGACUCCGUAACUUCGGGAGAAGGAGUGCCUUAUUUUUAAGGUUGCAAUAACAAGAUCCAAGCAACUGUUUACCAAAAACACAGGUCUCCGCUAAGUCGUAAGACGAUGUAUGGGGGCUGACGCCUGCCCAGUGCCAGAAGGUUAAAGAAGUCGGUUAGCAUUCGCGAAGCUGGUAACUGAAGCCCUGUGAACGGCGGCCGUAACAAUAACGGUCCUAAGGUAGCGAAAUUCCUUGUCGGGUAAGUUCCGACCCGCACGAAAGGCGUAAUGAUUUGGAUACUGUCUCGGAGAGGGGCUCGGUGAAAUAGACUUGUCUGUGAAGAUGCGGACUACCUGCACCUGGACAGAAAGACCCUAUGAAGCUUUACUGUAACUUGAAAUUGAAAUUGGACUUUAUUUGCGCAGUAUAGGUGGGAGGCGUUGAAAAUAUUCUUGCGGGAAUAUUGGAGCCAUCAGUGAGAUACCACUCUUGUAAUGUUAGAUUUCUAACUUUAUAUCAUUAUCUGGUUAAAGAACAGUUUCAGGCGGGCAGUUUGACUGGGGCGGUCGCCUCCCAAAUGGUAACGGAGGCGCACAAAGGUUUCCUCUGAACGGGUAGAAAUCGUAUCUAGAGUGUAAAGGCAUAAGGAAGCUUGACUGUGAGACCUACAAGUCGAGCAGGGACGAAAGUCGGUCUUAGUGAUCUGACGGUGCUGAGUGGAAAGGCCGUCACUCAACGGAUAAAAGUUACUCUAGGAUAACAGGCUGAUCUCCCCCAAGAGUUCACAUCGACGGGGAGGUUUGGCACCUCGAUGUCGGCUCAUCGCAUCCUGGGGCGGUAGUACGUCCCAAGGGUUGGGCUGUUCGCCCAUGAAAGCGGUACGCGAGCUGGGUUCAGAACGUCGUGAGACAGUUCGGUCCAUAUCCGGUGUAGGCGUUAGAAUAUUGAGAGGAGCCUUCUUUAGUACGAGAGGACCGAGAAGGACAUACCUCUGGUGUACCAGUUAUCGUGCCAACGGUAAACGCUGGGUAGCUAUGUAUGGAGUGGAUAACCGCUGAAAGCAUCUAAGUGGGAAGCCCACCUCAAGAUAAG
rnacentral:rRNA from 1 species